rnacentral:rRNA from 1 species
UACGAAGGGGGCGAGCGUUGUCCGGAAUUACUGGGCGUAAAGAGCUCGUAGGUGGUUUGUCGCGUUGUUCGUGAAAACUCACAGCUUAACUGUGGGCGUGCGGGCGAUACGGGCAGACUGGAGUACUGCAGGGGAGACUGGAAUUCCUGGUGUAGCGGUGGAAUGCGCAGAUAUCAGGAGGAACACCGGUGGCGAAGGCGGGUCUCUGGGCAGUAAUUGACGCUGAGGAGCGAAAGCGUGGGGAGCGAACAGG